rnacentral:lncRNA from 1 species
GAUUUUAUUAGAAGUGGGGGAGCAUGUUGUUCUCUAUAGCAUAUAUCCAUGCUGAGGAGAGUUUUUGAAUGGGCUUUUCAUUUAAGAUGUUUUCAGUUUUCUGCCUUGUAAUUAUUUCUAGCACUUCAGAUGUUCUGACUCGGUUCAGUGUAUUCAAUGAUCUAAUAAUUUUGGCCUGGUUCCAGCUUAUCUAUAUAUCUUUAGAGUAUGCCUCCAUUGACAAAGCUAUUGUAAGUUUUCCAUUACGAAUGUCCCUGUUAAGUUUGUCUAAUUUUUUUGAAAAGCCUGUUUAGUUAUACCAAUGUAUGCCAAUUUGUUGUUGGUUCUAGUAUCUUCUACCGGUAUUUUAUAUACUCCACUUCUCUAAAACUCAUUUAAGGGAGAGAUC